rnacentral:lncRNA from 1 species
UGAGGUGCCUUAUUGUGCUGUCUUAUGGCCACUUAAUUAGAUAUGUGCGCAGAGUGAUCUAGGAGCACAGAGGAAGGAACAUUGAUAUUUUUUAGAGAAAGAUUUUGAAACUAGAAUCAUAGUAAAAAACACUAUACUAUAUACACUAUAAGUUUGAGGUUUAAAGUUUAUGCCCAUAGGCUUAGAAUGGUGAGUGGUAAGGAAACUUUCAAAUUUUUUACAUAUGAAAUUUAAAAAGUGAAAUUAAAAAGAAAAUGGAAUUAAAAAAUUAAAUAAAUUGCAGCACACAAACUAGCCAUGUUAUCAGAUAAAAAGUAAUGUACUGAAACUUUUGACAAAUUGUUAAUUUAUCAAAUAAUUUCAAAUGUUUAUAGAAAACACAGAUGGUUACUUCUAGCUAAAGAAAAGAAAUAUAGAAAACAAUAAUACAUAAAAUCAGUUUAGCCAAUCUCUGUAUUUAUGUGACAUUGUCUUUAUUUUCCCACCUCCACAAAAAGGCAUAAUGUUUGAUGUUAAUGUGAUGGACAUAAUUCCCAAUUCUGGGGCCCAUACUGUUGCUCUAUUUCUUUGUUCCUACUCACUAAAGCAUAUAUCUAAUAUAUAUUUAGAUAUAUAUUUACAUCGAAUAAAAACAAAUAAAAAAUUAAUGAUAGAAUUUGAUAAGUUGGUAGAUCUGCAUCACGUAAACAAAAGGAAUCAAUUACUUUUUAAAAAAGAUUCUUUUAUUUAUUCAUUCAAGGAAGCGAGUAGAUCAGAGGAAGAGUGACAAGCAGACUCUACACUGAGUGGAGAGCCUGAAAUGGGGCUCAGGGGCUCAGGACCCUGAGACCAUGACCUGAGCUGAAGCCACCCAGGUGCUCCCUAUUUUCUUUAUCGUACAAGAAAUAUCUAGAAAUGGUACCUUUCUCAUCAUGAUACAACUAUAAAAUAUUUAGGAGUAAAUUUAACCAGAAGAGUAGCAGACCUAUACAAACAAAAUAAGGACAUCUAGUUAAAACCAUAAAGCAAAAUUUGAAUAAAGGGUUAGAUAUAUUAUUGGAUGGAGAAGGCAAUAUCAUGAAAAUGUCAAUUUUCCUAAAGGUUAACAUAUAUAUUUCAUGCAAUUUCAACAAGAAUCAUAACAGAUUAAUUUUUUUCCACUGGAUCAAAUAAUCUUAAUGUCCAGAUGGAAGAAUAAAUGUCUUAGAGCAGCCAACAAAAAUGUGAAAAAGAACAGCAAGAAGUUAUUUUUCAUAUUAGAUAUCAGAACAUACUAUAAGGUUCUGUAGUCAACUAAUUAUGGAAAUAAAUGAAUAGAUUAGUAGAAAAGAUUAGAGAAUGAUGGAAAUAUUAAAUAUAAGGAAUUAACAUUGACAAACACAGUGGCUUCAGUUUUUUCUGUAGGAGAAUAAAAAUGGAUCCCUGUCUUGUGCCAUACACAAAAGUGAAUUUCAGAUAGAUUAAAAUACAAAAAGUUUAAAAAUGUAUAAAUGAUUAAAAAAUAUAGGGGUUAGGGAAACUUUUUUAACCAGAGCUAAUAACCCAUUAUAUAUAUCAAAAUUGUACCUAAGCACUUAAAAAUGGAAAACCUUUGUAUGGAAACCAAAACACACAAUGGAUUCAGAAAACACAGGUAGUCAUGAUGGUUAGUAUUUAUAUAGGUAAGAAAAUCUGUAAGACAAAGGCAAAUAAAUAGCUCGAGAAAAAUGGGCAGAUGUUAUAAAUACGUGAUUCACAGAAGAGCAAAUACAAAUGGUCAACAAACAUGAAACAAUGCUCAAAUUUAUAUGUUGAGAAAUAUAAAUGAAAGUAAAAAUGAGAUAGAACUUCAUAAAUAUUAUAGAGAAAUUAAAGACUAGUUAUGCAAAUCAUUGGUAGGAAGAUAGAAAAAGGGUUGUUCGUAUAUUGCUGAUGGAAAUAGCAUCUUCCGAAGGUCUUUGGAAAAAUUCAGGAUUCUGUGCUAUUGUUGAUAGAGGCUGAAGGAGAUGGACAAAGGAUAAAAGGACAUGGGAAA